AGAGUUUGAUCAUGGCUCAGGGUGAACGCUGGCAGUGUGGAUAAGGCAUGCAAGUCAAGGGGGCCCGCAAGGGCAACCGGCAGACGAGGUAGUAAUACACAGGUACGUACCCGGAAGUCUGGCAUAGCCCGUCGAAGGACGGGGUAAUUCCAGAUAGUCCCGCAAGGGUAAAGAUUUAUCGCUUCCGGAACGGCCUGUGCCGUAUCAGCUAGUUGGUAGGGUAAUGGCCUACCAAGGCUUCGACGCGUAGGGGAGGUGAGAGCCUGACCCCCACCGAUGGGACUGCGACACGGCCCAUACUCCUACGGGAGGCUGCAGUCGAGAAUCUUCCGCAAUGGGCGAAAGCCUGACGGAGCGACACUGCGUGGUGGAUGAAGUCCCUCGGGACGUAAACACCUUUUAUGAGGGAAGAAGUAAUUGACGGUACCUCAUGAAUAAGGGGCUCCUAACUCUGUGCCAGCAGGAGCGGUAAUACAGAGGCCCCAAGCGUUACCCGGAAUCACUGGGCGUAAAGAGUGCGAAGGCGGUUAUAUUAGUCUCCCGUUAAAUCCAUGGGCUCAACCUAUGGCUCGCGGGGGAAACGGUAUAACUUGAGGGCGUGAGAGGUAUAUGGAACUCAUGGUGUAGGGGUAAAAUCCGUUGAUAUCAUGGGGAACACCAAAGGCGAAGGCAAUAUACUGGCACGCACCUGACGCUCUAGCACGAAAGCUAGGGUAGCGAACGGGAUUAGAUACCCCGGUAGUCCUAGCCCUAAACGUUGCUCGCUCGCUUUCGGGAGUAUCGACCCUCUCGGAGGCUAAGCUAACGCGGUAAGCGAGCCGCCUGGGUAGUACGAGCGCAAGCUUAAAACUCAAAGGAAUAGACGGGGACUCGCACAAGCGGUGGAUCAUGUGGCUUAAUUCGUCGAUAAACGAAGAACCUUACCAGGGCUUGAAACCAUGCUGCACGCCUGAGGAAACUCGGGAAGCCUUCGAGGGUGCAUGGCAGGUGAUGCAUGGUCGUCGUCAGUUCGUGGCUUGAGCUGUUCCCUUAAGUGGGGUAACGAACGCAACCCCCGUUGCCUGUUAUAAGUGUCAGGCGAGACUGCUCCCCCACGGGAGAGGAAGGUGGGGAUGACGCCAGAUCAGCAUGUCCCUCUGAUGCCCUGGGCUGCACACGUGAUACAAUGGUCGGCACAACGAGAUGCAAUAGGGUAACCUGGAGCCAACCUCUUAAAACCGACCCCAAUACAGAUUGAGGUCUGCAAUGACCUCAUGAAGCCGGAAUCGCUAGUAAUCCCGGGUCAGCUAUACCGGGGUGAAUACGUUCUCGAGUCUUGUACUCACCGCCCGUCAACUCAAGGGAGCUGGGGGUACCCGACGUCCCUCCUCGUGAGGGCCUACGGUAAAUUCAGUGACAGGGAGUAAGUCGUAACAAGGUAACC
rnacentral:rRNA from 1 species